rnacentral:ncRNA from 1 species
AAAAGAGGUCGCACAAACCAAGAGUAGCCUUUAAGAGCCUGUAAAGAGGUCAUGACUAGAGGUGAAAGGGGUAAGUGCCGAAGUAAGCCAAGACUUUACGCUUGGUUUGCUGGGGUUUAGUUUAAGAGACUAAACACUGUCGCAGUCACAUCAGACUACGGAGCGCUGUCG